UUUUUUUUUUUUUUUUGAGGAAAACACAUUCCAUUCACAGCGUCUCGAUCUCCCGAUCGAGAAGCGCUCGCAUCAGAUCGUUCCACCUGUGGAAAUUACCGCGUCAGAGGCCGCCGGUCGCAAGUUUAAGGUUUCAAAAAAAAAAAAAAAAGCAGAAAGAAGCGAUAUUAUGAGCCUCCGGCAUUGAUCGCGGAUCAGUAUUCGCCUCAUGCGAAGAAAAGAAAAUCAUUGGGGUUGCUCUAAUAAAUACUUGAGGGCGAGAAGAAAGGAUGUGUGAAAAGACCGGGGCGGCGGAAAGAGCCGGCAGCCAUUUCGGCUCACACAAUGACACGGCGGCGGCUUCUUCCCGGUGCCCUGUGUCACACGCACAGCGCCGCCUCGCCCGCCGCAAGACCUUCACAGUCCAGCGCUCCUGCUGUCUGUCUGCCCGCGAAGCGAAGCUCUUUCUCUGUACAGAAAAUAAACAACACAGGCAGCCUUUGCCAAGACGGGAAAAUCGGUCCACCCGUUAAACCGAGCGUCCUCGACCGCUAAAGUGGAAUGCCAACAAAUGACCGAGUCGGGUCCCUGGAAGAGCGCCAUGAUAGCACGGCAACGGUUUCCCUGGCGAUGGUUUCACAAACUGUUCCGCAUACAGCUAGAACGCAUCAUCAGAUCUAAUGCCAUUCUCUAGGCAAUGAUGGAAACUACAUAAACGACGAUGCCACCAUCCAACAGUUUUUUUCUUUUUUUCUCCUUUUGAUAGUUUCAAGAAGAUGGAUUUGGAAAAGUCCAGGGUGAUCGUAUUAUUGUUAGCAGACAGACGCUCCUGUUUCUGCUGACCUGGCGGCUCAUGUAUCCAUGAGGACAUGCAGGGAGCGCACACGCUCAGAGCCGCCCACACCGCGCCGCAUCACAAGAGGCCGGCCAAUCAGACGAGCCCCCAGCAAGGCUCCAUCCAGCCCGGCCAGAGAUCUCCAUCCCCCACAGCCCGGUGGAAUCAAUGUGCCUGUAAUCAAGAGGUUGUCAGUUUUGACUCCCCAGCCAGGCAGUGAUAUUUCGCCUUAGAGCUUCAGAGCUUCAAACGCUCAGCUGUAUACACAUGUAAUAUGUGAAAAGGCAAGACCUGCCAAUAAAUGCAUAACCAUAAAUAAUAACAAAAAUUCUUUAUAAUGAUGAUUUUCUCUUCUCUCUUAUUAUUGCUGGGGACAGUACAGAGUUCUCAGCACAUAGGAAGCUGUGUUGCAGCAAGCAUUGAGCACUGUAGGUGCUAGGUUGAUAAAUCGCGAUGUGAACUUGAAAUGAAAAGGAUGAAUGGUUUUGAUAAAACCGCUCAUGCUGUAAUUUACUUCCCACUCCCGGAUAAGAAUAAAAUGAUCUUGCAUCUCAAAAAAAAAAAGAAAAAAAAAAAGGCCAUUGAAAAUUUGUCUCAUGCUGUUUUAAUCCAAUACGACACAUUUUCUACAGAAAAGCCUAUUUGAAAAUAUAAAUUGAAUUAUAAUGAUUCUACU